rnacentral:lncRNA from 1 species
AUGGGAGCAGGGUCCUAUUUGCACCUUUCUUUUUAUGGCCUCCUUAUCGCCAGCACUUUCUUCCAAGGCUUGGAAGCGGUCAGCUGCAAAAGGGAAUGGCUGGCCUACCACAAUAAAUGCUUUGGCGUCUUUACGGAAGAGACAUCGUGGUCCAAUGCAGAGGUUUUGUGUCAGAGGUAUGGCGAGAACGGCCACCUGGCGUCCUUCCUCUCAGCGCAAGAAAAUGAGAUUGUGGCUAAGCGCAUCACUAACAACUACCCCGAGGUACAGCGAGUCUGGAUUGGAUUUCAUGACCCCAAAAAGAUUGGGAGGUGGAAAUGGAGCGAUUCCUCUACCACCAACUUCAGACCUUGGUCCGCAGGAGAACCCAGCAAGAGAGGAGAAAAGCGAUCCUGUGUUUUUAUGUCACUCUCGGAAGGUUUUAGAAGAUGGACAUCGGCGGAUUGCAAAGAAAAGAUGCCCUUUCUCUGUAGCUCUCUGCUGUAGAGGGGGCAGUCAUUCGUCCAGCGGUGGAAUAAAAUUGAUGAGGAUGAAUGGAUUUGCACCUCUUUUGCUUAAUAAAUGGUUUCCUUGUUUAAGCAUAUUUUUGGCGGUUCCUAUAGAAUUUGGAUGUGGUGGCGCUGCGGGUUAAACCGCAGAAGCCUCUGUGCUGCAAGGUCAGAAGACCUGCCGUCGUAAGCUCGAAUCCACACGCCGGAGGGAGCUCCUGUCACUUGUCCCAGCUCCUGCCAACCUGGCCGUUCAAAAGCAGGCAAAAUGCAAAAUGGCAGUAGAUAAAUAGGUACCACCACAGUGGGAAGGUCAUAGCGUUCCAUGUCUAGUCAUGCUGACAACAGAAGAUUGCCUUCGGACAAACCCAUAGCUCUAUGGGUUGGAAAUGGAGAUGAGCACCACCGCCUAGAGUUGGACACGACUGGACAAAUUGUCAAGGGGAAUCUUUACCUAAAGAAUUUGGGAUUCUAGUCCAGAUUUUGCAAGACCCUUGAUUUUUUUUUUGACCUCUCUUUAUUACUGACACAUUCGUAAAGUAGGAUCCUAUAUCUACUGGGGAUUGGUCCCAAGCCCCCACGGACACUGAAAACUGCAGAUAAUACCAUACACAGUAUACUGUAUACUGUUUUCCCGAAAAUAAGACCUAACCUGAAAAUAAGCCUUAGUAUGAUUUUUCAGGAUGCUCAUAAUAUAAGCCCUACCCCCAAAAUAAGCCCUAGCUAAGUGAAAGCCCACCCUCCAGCCUUGUGCCGCAAUCAGAAGAAGAUGACAUGACUGUAUUUGAAUAAACGUAGAUUGUACAUGAAAAAAAUAAAACGU